UACGUAGGGUGCGAGCGUUAAUCGGAAUUACUGGGCGUAAAGCGUGCGCAGGCGGUUCGUUAAGUCAGAUGUGAAAGCCCCGGGCUCAACCUGGGAACUGCAUUUGAAACUGGCGGGCUUGAGUAUGGCAGAGGGGGGUGGAAUUCCGCGUGUAGCAGUGAAAUGCGUAGAGAUGCGGAGGAACACCGAUGGCGAAGGCAGCCCCCUGGGCCAAUACUGACGCUCAGGCUCGAAAGCGUGGGGAGCAAACAGG
rnacentral:rRNA from 1 species